rnacentral:sRNA from 1 species
AGAAGAGGUAUGUGGAAC